UGUUUUAUUGGUCCCCACCUUUGAUUUUGCAAUAAUCAUUGAACUAGUCAGAUGUUCCUCAGAGUGUAUAUUAGGGCUGGUUUUACAAAGUACAUUAAGUUGAUUUUGCUUAUGGAGUGUUAUUAACUUUUCUUACAAUUAGUAUUAUACUGCAUUAGUAGUUUCGUCAUUAUGUUAAUAAAUGACCUUUUUCAAUUUAAAUUG